rnacentral:tRNA from 1 species
CGGGAUGUGGCGUAGUCCGGUAGCGCACUUGACUGGGGGUCAAGGGGUCGCAAGUUCAAAUCUUGCCAUUCCGA